rnacentral:rRNA from 1 species
UUGAAGGUUGGGUAACACUAACUGGAGGACCGAACCGACUAAUGUUGAAAAAUUAGCGGAUGACUUGUGGCUGGGGGUGAAAGGCCAAUCAAACCGGGAGAUAGCUGGUUCUCCCCGAAAGCUAUUUAGGUAGCGCCUCGUGAAUUCAUCUCCGGGGGUAGAGCACUGUUUCGGCAAGGGGGUCAUCCCGACUUACCAACCCGAUGCAAACUGCGAAUACCGGAGAAUGUUAUCACGGGAGACACACGGCGGGUGCUAACGUCCGUCGUGAAGAGGGAAACAACCCAGACCGCCAGCUAAGGUCCCAAAGUCAUGGUUAAGUGGGAAACGAUGUGGGAAGGCCCAGACAGCCAGGAUGUUGGCUUAGAAGCAGCCAUCAUUUAAAGAAAGCGUAAUAGCUCACUGGUCGAGUCGGCCUGCGCGGAAGAUGUAACGGGGCUAAACCAUGCACCGAAGCUGCGGCAGCGACGCUGAUGCGUUGUUGGGUAGGGGAGCGUUCUGUAAGCCUGCGAAGGUGUGCUGUGAGGCAUGCUGGAGGUAUCAGAAGUGCGAAUGCUGACAUAAGUAACGAUAAAGCGGGUGAAAAGCCCGCUCGCCGGAAGACCAAGGGUUCCUGUCCAACGUUAAUCGGGGCAGGGUGAGUCGACCCCUAAGGCGAGGCCGAAAGGCGUAGUCGAUGGGAAACAGGUUAAUAUUCCUGUACUUGGUGUUACUGCGAAGGGGGGACGGAGAAGGCUAUGUU